UGAGUCGGCAGGGCGGCCGCGGCAGGAGACUGUCGAGGAAAGUCCGGACUCCACAGGGCAGGGUGGUUGUUAACGGCAACCAGGGGCGACCCUCGGGACAGUGCCACAGAAAACAGACCGCCUCGGCGAAAGCCGCGGUAAGGGUGAAACGGUGGUGUAAGAGACCACCAGCGCCCCAGGUGACUGGGGCGGCUAGGUAAACCCCACCCGGAGCAAGGCCAAGAGGGCACCGGAUCGCAAGUGAAGGUGCUGCGCGAGCGUUCGAGGGCUGCCCGUCCGAUGCUCGCGGGUAGGCCGCUAGAGCCUGUCGGCAACGGCAGGCCCAGAUGGAUGGCCGCCGACUGGGACCUCGGUCCCAUGAACAGGAUCCGGCUUACAUGCCGGCUCAUCCG
rfam:Lentzea albidocapillata strain DSM 44073 genome assembly, contig: LX89DRAFT_scaffold00014.14